CAAUAGCGUAUAUUUAAGUUGUUGCAGUUAAAAAGCUCGUAGUUGGAUUUCGGUUAAGAGCGACCGGUCCGCCGUUUGGUGUGCACUGGUUGGUUUUAACUUCCUGUAGAGGACGUGCUCUGGGUUUAACGACCUGGACUCGGAGUCUACGUGGUUACUUUGAAAAAAUUAGAGUGUUCAAAGCGGGCUUACGCUUGAAUAUUUCAGCAUGGAAUAACACUAUAGGACUCCUGUCCUAUUUCGUUGGUCUCGGGACGGGAGUAAUGAUUAAGAGGAACAGUUGGGGGCAUUCGUAUUUCAUUGUCAGAGGUGAAAUUCUUGGAUUUAUGAAAGACGAACUUCUGCGAAAGCAUUUGCCAAGGAUUUUUUCAUUAA
rnacentral:rRNA from 1 species